rnacentral:lncRNA from 1 species
GUUCUCCGUGCAAGCUCAGCAUCUCACUCCGUAUGACCUUACCCCACCAUGCUGCUCAUAGUUUGGCAUGAUUUUGAUGAAUUCUUUUCUUCUGUAACUAAUACCAGCAGCUCCACUUACAAGAUUGCUAAACCCAGCAGGUCGAGCUGGGACAUCCUCUCCGUGUAGCCCAAUGAUAAUGCGGCCAACAGGUUCUCCAUUAAUUGAUAUUAUCAAGAAAAAUGCACGCUUUGUUGUAGUUUUAUUGCUGCACUUAUGUCUUGUGCUUGUACUGUUUUUUUCUCAUGGAUCAUUUUCUUUGGAAUCUGGCAAGUUUUCUUCAGCUAGCUCUGGACAUACUGAAUGGUUCUAGGGUUUGAGAACUUAGCA